rnacentral:snRNA from 1 species
CUGCUUGCUUCGGCAGCACAUUAUGCUAAAAUUGGAACAAUACAGAGACCAGUGUGGCCCCCGUGCCAGGAUGGUGUGCAAAUUCAUGAAGUAUUUUCACAUUUUU